rnacentral:rRNA from 1 species
UUAAAUUGAAGAGUUUGAUCAUGGCUCAGAUUGAACGCUGGCGGCAGGCCUAACACAUGCAAGUCGAACGGUAACAGAAAGCAGCUUGCUGCUUUGCUGACGAGUGGCGGACGGGUGAGUAAUGUCUGGGAAACUGCCUGAUGGAGGGGGAUAACUACUGGAAACGGUAGCUAAUACCGCAUAACGUCGCAAGACCAAAGAGGGGGACCUUCGGGCCUCUUGCCAUCGGAUGUGCCCAGAUGGGAUUAGCUUGUUGGUGGGGUAACGGCUCACCAAGGCGACGAUCCCUAGCUGGUCUGAGAGGAUGACCAGCCACACUGGAACUGAGACACGGUCCAGACUCCUACGGGAGGCAGCAGUGGGGAAUAUUGCACAAUGGGCGCAAGCCUGAUGCAGCCAUGCCGCGUGUAUGAAGAAGGCCUUCGGGUUGUAAAGUACUUUCAGCGGGGAGGAAGGGAGUAAAGUUAAUACCUUUGCUCAUUGACGUUACCCGCAGAAGAAGCACCGGCUAACUCCGUGCCAGCAGCCGCGGUAAUACGGAGGGUGCAAGCGUUAAUCGGAAUUACUGGGCGUAAAGCGCACGCAGGCGGUUUGUUAAGUCAGAUGUGAAAUCCCCGGGCUCAACCUGGGAACUGCAUCUGAUACUGGCAAGCUUGAGUCUCGUAGAGGGGGGUAGAAUUCCAGGUGUAGCGGUGAAAUGCGUAGAGAUCUGGAGGAAUACCGGUGGCGAAGGCGGCCCCCUGGACGAAGACUGACGCUCAGGUGCGAAAGCGUGGGGAGCAAACAGGAUUAGAUACCCUGGUAGUCCACGCCGUAAACGAUGUCGACUUGGAGGUUGUGCCCUUGAGGCGUGGCUUCCGGAGCUAACGCGUUAAGUCGACCGCCUGGGGAGUACGGCCGCAAGGUUAAAACUCAAAUGAAUUGACGGGGGCCCGCACAAGCGGUGGAGCAUGUGGUUUAAUUCGAUGCAACGCGAAGAACCUUACCUGGUCUUGACAUCCACAGAACCUUGUAGAGAUACGAGGGUGCCUUCGGGAACUGUGAGACAGGUGCUGCAUGGCUGUCGUCAGCUCGUGUUGUGAAAUGUUGGGUUAAGUCCCGCAACGAGCGCAACCCUUAUCCUUUGUUGCCAGCGGUCCGGCCGGGAACUCAAAGGAGACUGCCAGUGAUAAACUGGAGGAAGGUGGGGAUGACGUCAAGUCAUCAUGGCCCUUACGACCAGGGCUACACACGUGCUACAAUGGCGCAUACAAAGAGAAGCGACCUCGCGAGAGCAAGCGGACCUCAUAAAGUGCGUCGUAGUCCGGAUUGGAGUCUGCAACUCGACUCCAUGAAGUCGGAAUCGCUAGUAAUCGUGGAUCAGAAUGCCACGGUGAAUACGUUCCCGGGCCUUGUACACACCGCCCGUCACACCAUGGGGAGUGGGUUGCAAAAGAAGUAGGUAGCUUAACCUUCGGGAGGGCGCUUACCACUUUGUGAUUCAUGACUGGGGUGAAGUCGUAACAAGGUAACCGUAGGGGAACCUGCGGUUGGAUCACCUCCUUA